AGGGCGCACGGUGGAUGCCUUGGUACUAGGAGCCGACGAAGGACGUGACAAACGACGAUAUGCCUUGGGUAGCUGUAAGUAAGCGAUGAUCCAGGGAUUUCCGAAUGGGGGAACCCAACAGGUAGUACCUGUUACCCACAUCUGUUAAGGAUGUGAGGAGGAAGACGCAGUGAACUGAAACAUCUAAGUAGCUGCAGGAAGAGAAAGCAAAAGCGAUUGCCUUAGUAGCGGCGAGCGAAACGGCAGGAGGCAAACCGAAGAGUUUACUCUUCGGGGUUGUAGGACUGCAAUGUGGACUCAAAGAUUAUAGAAGAAUGAUUUGGGAAGAUCAGCCAAAGAGAGUAAUAGCCUCGUAUUUAAAAUAGUCUUUGUACUUAGCAGUAUCCUGAGUACGGCGGGACACGUGAAAUCCCGUCGGAAUCUGGGAGGACCAUCUCCCAACCCUAAAUACUCCCUAGUGACCGAUAGUGAACCAGUACCGUGAGGGAAAGGUGAAAAGCACCCCGGGAGGGGAGUGAAAUAGAACCUGAAACCGUGUGCCUACAACAAGUUCGAGCCCGUUAAUGGGUGAGAGCGUGCCUUUUGUAGAAUGAACCGGCGAGUUACGUUAUGAUGCGAGGUUAAGUUGAAGAGACGGAGCCAUAGGGAAACCGAGUCUGAAUAGGGCGCCUUAGUAUCAUGACGUAGACCCGAAACCAUGUGACCUACCCAUGAGCAGGUUGAAGGUGCGGUAAGACGCACUGGAGGACCGAACCAGGGCACGUUGAAAAGUGCUUGGAUGACUUGUGGGUAGCGGAGAAAUUCCAAACGAACUUGGAGAUAGCUGGUUCUCUCCGAAAUAGCUUUAGGGCUAGCGUCGACAUUAGAGAUUCUUGGAGGUAGAGCACUGUUUGGGUGAGGGGUCCAUCCCGGAUUACCAAUCUCAGAUAAACUCCGAAUGCCAAUGAAUUAUGGUCGGCAGUCAGACUGCGAGUGCUAAGAUCCGUAGUCGAAAGGGAAACAGCCCAGACCACCAGCUAAGGUCCCAAAAUAAUUGUUAAGUGGAAAAGGAUGUGGGGUUGCACAGACAACUAGGAUGUUAGCUUAGAAGCAGCUAUUCAUUCAAAGAGUGCGUAAUAGCUCACUAGUCGAGUGACCCUGCGCCGAAAAUGUACCGGGGCUAAAACAAUUUACCGAAGCUGUGGAUACCUUUAUAGGUAUGGUAGGAGAGCGUUCUAUGUGUGAUGAAGGUAUACCGCGAGGAGUGCUGGAACGCAUAGAAGUGAGAAUGCCGGUAUGAGUAGCGAAAGACAGGUGAGAAUCCUGUCCACCGUAAGACUAAGGUUUCCAGGGGAAGGCUCGUCCGCCCUGGGUUAGUCGGGACCUAAGGAGAGACCGAAAGGUGUAUCCGAUGGACAACAGGUUGAUAUUCCUGUACUAGAGUAUGUAGUGAUGGAGGGACGCAGUAGGCUAACUAAAGCAGACGAUUGGAAGAGUCUGUCUAAGCAGUGAGGUGUGAAUUGAGUCAAAUGCUUAAUUCUAUAACAUUGAGCUGUGAUGGGGAGCGAAGUUUAGUAGCGAAGUUAGUGACGUCACACUGCCAAGAAAAGCUUCUAGCGUUUAAACAUACUCUACCCGUACCGCAAACCGACACAGGUAGUCGAGGCGAGUAGCCUCAGGUGAGCGAGAGAACUCUCGUUAAGGAACUCGGCAAAAUGACCCCGUAACUUCGGGAGAAGGGGUGCUGACUUUAAGUCAGCCGCAGUGAAUAGGCCCAAGCAACUGUUUAUCAAAAACACAGCUCUCUGCUAAAUCGUAAGAUGAUGUAUAGGGGGUGACGCCUGCCCGGUGCUGGAAGGUUAAGAGGAGUGCUUAGCGUAAGCGAAGGUAUGAAUUGAAGCCCCAGUAAACGGCGGCCGUAACUAUAACGGUCCUAAGGUAGCGAAAUUCCUUGUCGGGUAAGUUCCGACCCGCACGAAAGGCGUAAUGAUUUGGGCACUGUCUCAACGAGAGACUCGGUGAAAUUUUAGUACCUGUGAAGAUGCAGGUUACCCGNGACAGGACGG
rnacentral:rRNA from 1 species